rnacentral:tRNA from 1 species
GCUCCAGUGGCGCAAUCGGUUAGCGCGCGGUACUUAUAUGGCAGUAACUGUUGGGCAAUGCCGAGGUUGUGGAUUCAAGCCUCACCUGGAGCA